CUAGCACUUUCACAGAUCCUCCCCUAGCAGUGGGGCCAGGAUUUGGUAGCUGGUGCUGAGAGAAAACCCUUGAUUGCAUCCUUGCCCCUGGUAUUGUAGCAGUGGCAGCUGUUACUCUUUGGAACAGGG